UCAAUAAAUCUGAUGAAAAUUGAGUCGAAGUUUUACAACUUUUGAGCUAGACAAACCAUGAAACACUACGUUUGAGAGCAUGUUUCCUAGUGAGGGUUUAAAAAUGUAUUUUAAUGAAGAUAACUGCUGGUGCAUUUUCGCGCUCAGGAUUGUAGAGCAAAAACUAUUUCAAGCAUGGGACAUGACAGCUGAAGGGACAACAUAUUUAAAUGUAAAACAAAAGGAAAUUGAUUCAACAGUAUACAUGCCUUUCGCGCAUGUACAAGCAAAUGUAACGAGUCAUUCAAAAUGGAAUUAUAAGUGUAACGUGUCGCCGUAAGACGUGACCGAAAUCAUUGCGGCGACGGCGCAUGCGCGUGCAAUGGUAGCCACAACCAUCGUUCUAGCAAAGUUACGGAAAGGAUGACUUCAACCACUGAUUUGACUCAGGGUGCAUGAUUUAAUGUAUGGAUGAUUUUCAUUUCUUCUAAAUUUCAAGAAAACUAUGACAUUACCAUUGCUCUAUUUUCUUUAAAAUUUUCCCAAAAGCAUAACAGCCCUGUGAAACCGCCAUUCUAAAACAAAAGAACAGACUCUCUAUAAUAAAAAGCUCACCAGGUUGGCAAUUUUUUUUCACCAGUUUUUUUUAUGUCUAUUUUCGUUAUGGAAAAUAAUCAACCAGGUUUGGACGGACUUCGAACUUACUUAGGGCAGUAUUGAACUAUGCAAAAGUACACAUUUCGUCCCGUGGGCUUGUAUCACAAGUCUUUCGGUUGACAGCCGAACGCGCUAACCGAUUGCGCCACAGAGACUUUAACGAAUGUAAAUUUGGCAUCAAGUGAUUCACUUUGUGUUACGUUGGUUGAGCAUAAAAUAUUCACGAUGCCAUA